AGGCCUAACACAUGCAAGUCGAGCGGUAGAGAGAAGCUUGCUUCUCUUGAGAGCGGCGGACGGGUGAGUAAUGCCUAGGAAUCUGCCUGGUAGUGGGGGAUAACGUUCGGAAACGGACGCUAAUACCGCAUACGUCCUACGGGAGAAAGCAGGGGACCUUCGGGCCUUGCGCUAUCAGAUGAGCCUAGGUCGGAUUAGCUAGUUGGUGGGGUAAUGGCUCACCAAGGCGACGAUCCGUAACUGGUCUGAGAGGAUGAUCAGUCACACUGGAACUGAGACACGGUCCAGACUCCUACGGGAGGCAGCAGUGGGGAAUAUUGGACAAUGGGCGAAAGCCUGAUCCAGCCAUGCCGCGUGUGUGAAGAAGGUCUUCGGAUUGUAAAGCACUUUAAGUUGGGAGGAAGGGUUGUAGAUUAAUACUCUGCAAUUUUGACGUUACCGACAGAAUAAGCACCGGCUAACUCUGUGCCAGCAGCCGCGGUAAUACAGAGGGUGCAAGCGUUAAUCGGAAUUACUGGGCGUAAAGCGCGCGUAGGUGGUUAGUUAAGUUGGAUGUGAAAUCCCCGGGCUCAACCUGGGAACUGCAUUCAAAACUGACUAACUAGAGUAUGGUAGAGGGUGGUGGAAUUUCCUGUGUAGCGGUGAAAUGCGUAGAUAUA
rnacentral:rRNA from 1 species